UGUUCUUACUCCUGUUGGAGAUGUUAGCUGAGAUAUUUCCAGGCUGAAAUCACUCUCAUAAGAACAACUAUCCAAGUACAUUAAACUGUCUCAUCAUCAGUUAGUCCUUCGAGGUUGAAAUCAGUGGGAUUUUUUCAUGAGAGUGGUCCUGUGGGGCAUCUCUCAGUGGACAUGAAGGAAACAAAAUUUCUUCAUAAUUUUGCUUAACAGAGGCCUCAUGGAGCUAGUGUGGCAAUUUUAGGAGGCCCUUGCAGACAGUGUGACAAACACAGCACAAUGUACAGAAGAAUCAUGAUGAUAUAAUCCGGGAGCCAUCAGGAACAGCUUCUCAGGGUGGUAUGCUGCAAACUCUUCACAACCAUAACCCAAUUAUAAC